AUGGCAUCGGCUCGCUCCGCGAUGCUCCAGGCGCUGCUGCUCGCGGUGGCCCUCGCCGCGGCGCCGGGCGUCCUCUCGGACCCGCCGCCGCUCCAGGACUUCUGCGUAGCCGACCUCAAGGCCGCCACGGCGGUGGACGGGUUCCCCUGCAAGGCGCCGUCGACGGUGGUGGACGACGACUUCUUCUCCGACGCCAUGGUCGCCGCGCCCAGAACCGACACCAACCCCUUCGGCGUCAACUCCACGCGCGCCACCGUGUCGGUCUUCCCGGGCCUCAACACGCUGGGCCUCUCCAUCACGCGCACCGACCUCGCCGUGGGCGGCCUCAAUCCGCCGCACUCGCACCCUCGCGGCUCGGAGCUCGUGCUGGUGCUCAAGGGCGAGGUCAUGGUCGGGUUCACCUCGGCGACCAACCGGCUCUUCACCAAGGUGGUGAAGGAGAACGAGCUCUACGUCGUGCCCCGCGGCCUGCAGCACUACCAGCUCAACGUUGGUACCGGGGACGCCGUGUUCAUGGCCAUGUUCGACGCCCAGUCGCCGGGCCUGGUCACGCCGACGCUCGCGCUCUUCGCGACCGAGCCGGCCAUGCCGAUGGAGGUGCUCACCAAGACCUUCCUCAUGGGCGAAGAUGAUGUCACCGCCAUGAAAUCCAAAUUCGCCGGCUUCUGA
rnacentral:rRNA from 1 species